UACAGAGGGUGCAAGCGUUAAUCGGAAUUACUGGGCGUAAAGCGUGCGUAGGUGGUUUGUUAAGUCGGGUGUGAAAUCCUUGGGCUCAACCUGAGAAUUGCAUCUGAAACUGGCGAGCUAGAGUGUGGUAGAGGGUAGUGGAACUCCCGGUGUAGCGGUGAAAUGCGUAGAUAUCGGGAAGAACACCAGUGGCGAAGGCGGCUACCUGGACCAACACUGACACUGAGGCGCGAAAGCGUGGGGAGCCAAACAGG
rnacentral:rRNA from 1 species